UGGGGAAUAUUUCACAAUGGGGGAAACCCUGAUGCAGCGACGCCGCGUGAGCGAAGAAGGUUUUCGAAUCGUAAAGCUCUGUCCUAUGAGAAGAUAAUGACGGUAUCAUAGGAGGAAGCCCCGGCUAAAUACGUGCCAGCCGCCGCGGUAAUACGUAUGGGGCGAGCGUUGUCCGGAAUUAUUGGGCGUAAAGGGUACGUAGGCGGUCUAUUAAGUCAGGUGUGAAAACGUGAGGCUUAACCGCAUUAAGCACUUGAAACUGAUAGACUUGAGUGAAGGAGAGUAAAGUGGAAUUCCUAUUGUAGCGGUGAAAUGCGUAGAUAUUAGGGGGAAUACCGGUGGCGAAGGCGACUUACUGGGCUAAUUCUGACGCUGAGGAACGAAAGCGUGGGUAGCAAACAGG
rnacentral:rRNA from 1 species